rnacentral:rRNA from 1 species
AGAGUUUGAUCAUGGCUCAGAGCGAACGCUGGCGGCGUACUUAACACAUGCAAGUCGAACGGGGAUCGUCGGGUUAGCAAUAAUUCGGCGGUCCUAGUGGCGUACGGGUGAGUAACACGUGGGCAACCUGCCCUAGAGUUCGGGAUACCCUCUCGAAAGGGAGGCUAAUACCGGAUACGUUCCCCGGGUCGCAGGAUCAGGGGAGGAAAGGUAGCGCAAGCUGCCGCUCUUGGAGGGGCUCGCGGCCUAUCAGCUAGUUGGUGAGGUAACGGCUCACCAAGGCUAUGACGGGUAGCUGGUCUGAGAGGACGACCAGCCACACGGGAACUGAGACACGGUCCCGACUCCUACGGGAGGCAGCAGUGGGGAAUUUUCCGCAAUGGGCGAAAGCCUGACGGAGUGACGCCGCGUGGGGGACGAAGGCCUUCGGGUUGUAAACCCCUGUCAGAGGGAAAGAAGGGUGUCGGCGUGAAUAGCGUCGGCAUCUGACGGUACCUUCAGAGGAAGCCCCGGCCAACUCUGUGCCAGCAGCCGCGGUAAGACAGAGGGGGCAAGCGUUGCUCGGAAUCACUGGGCGUAAAGGGCGUGUAGGCGGGACGGCAAGUCGGUCGUGAAAUCCUUCGGCUCAACCGAAGAACGUCGGCCGAUACUGCCAUUCUUGAGGGAUGCAGAGGAGACUGGAAUUCCCGGUGUAGCGGUGAAAUGUGUAGAGAUCGGGAGGAACACCGGUGGCGAAGGCGGGUCUCUGGGCAUCUCCUGACGCUGAGGCGCGAAAGCGUGGGGAGCAAACGGGAUUAGAUACCCCGGUAGUCCACGCUGUAAACGAU